rnacentral:rRNA from 1 species
UACGGAGGGGGCUAGCGUUGUUCGGAAUUACUGGGCGUAAAGCGCACGUAGGCGGCUUUGUAAGUUAGAGGUGAAAGCCCGGGGCUCAACUCCGGAACUGCCUUUGAAACUAGAGGACUUGGGUACGGGAGAGGUGAGUGGAAUUCCGAGUGUAGAGGUGAAAUUCGUAGAUAUUCGGAAGAACACCAGUGGCGAAGGCGGCUCACUGGCCCGUUACCGACGCUCAGGCGCGACAGCGUGGGGAGCAAACAGG